GACGAACGCUGGCGGCGGGCUUAACACAUGCAAGUCGAACGGCGAACGAGGGAGCUUUCUUCCUCCGGAACAGUGGCGAACGGGUGUGUAACACGUGCACAAUCUGCCCCGCACUCGGGGAUAACCGCUGGAAACGACGUCUAAUACCAUAUACGCCUCGGGAGGGCAUUCUCUCCGGUUGGACCGAACUUGGGUUCGGGUGGGCCUGCCGGCCUAUCAGCUGGUGGGUGAGGUAACGGCCCACCAGGGCGACGACGGGUAGCCGGCCUGGGAGGGUGACCGGCCACAAUGGGACUGAGACACGGCCCAGACUGCAACAGGAGGCAGCAGUGGGGAGUAGUACACAAUGGGCGGAAGCCUGGUGCAGCGACGCCGCGUGUGGGACGACGGCCAUCGGGUUGUAAACCGCUUUUAGCACGGAAGAAGCGAAAGUGACGGUAACUGCAGAAAAAGCACCGGCUAACUACGUG
rnacentral:rRNA from 1 species